AAUCAACGCUGGCGGCGUGCCUAACACAUGCAAGUCGAACGCGAAAGGGGAGCAAUCCCUGAGUAGAGUGGCGAACGGGUGAGUAACACGUGGGUGACCUGCCUUCGAGUGGGGGAUAACGUCCCGAAGGGGACGCUAAUACCGCAUGACAUCCCGCCUUUGAAGUGGCGGUGAUUAAAGCUGGGGAUCGCAAGACCUGGCGCUUGAAGAGGGGCCCGCGCCCGAUUAGCUAGUUGGUGGGGUAAUGGCCUACCAAGGCUUCGAUCGGUAGCCGGCCUGAGAGGGCGGACGGCCACACUGGGACUGAGACACGGCCCAGACUCCUACGGGAGGCAGCAGUGGGGAAUUGUUCGCAAUGGGCGCAAGCCUGACGACGCAACGCCGCGUGGAGGACGAAGAUUUUCGGAUCGUAAACUCCUUUCGAUCGGGACGAAUCGUCUCCGACCUAAUACGUCGGGGGACUGACGGUACCGAGAGAAGAAGCCCCGGCUAACUCCGUGC
rnacentral:rRNA from 1 species